GCGCCAGUAGCUCAAUCGGAUAGAGCAAAAGAUUUCUAAUCUUUAGGCUACGGGUUCAAGUCCUGUCUGGCGUA
rnacentral:tRNA from 2 species